rnacentral:rRNA from 1 species
AUUGAACGCUGGCGGCAAGCCUAACACAUGCAAGUCGAACGGAGUGGCGGACGGGUGAGUAACGCGUAGGUAACUGCCUAUUAGAGGGGGAUAACUAUUGGAAACGAUAGCUAAUACCGCAUACUAGUAGAUGGACCUUCGUUGUAUUAGCUAGUGGGUAGGGUAAUGGCCUACCUAGGCGAAGAUACAUAGCCGGGCUGAGAAGGUGGACGGGAACAAUGGGACUGGGGAAAGGGCCAGAAUCCCACCGGAGGGAGGAGGAGGGAAAUAUCGGAAAUGGGGGGAACCCUGACCGAGCAACGCCGCGGGAGUGAAGAAGGUUUUCGGAGCGUAAAGCUCUGUUGUGAAGGAAGCGGUACUUAACCAGAAAGGGACGGCUAACUACGUGCCAGCAGCCGCGGUAAUAC